rnacentral:misc_RNA from 1 species
AGAAAGAGAAAAAGAGGAGGAGUGCUCAUUGAAAAGUUGGAGGGUGGUAGUGGCGCGUGGCGCGAUCGCGGGUACGCAUGCGUGUACGCAGAGCUAGACGCAAUACAUAGUAGAUAUGCACGUGCACGACGUAACGCGUGUGAGCGAAGCUGUUCUCACGCGGCGACACGCGGCCACCAUCUCCCCAAUGCGCGUCGCCACGUGCCACCUCGAUGCACCCACGGAAAACUCAUAAUUGUCAUAACAUUCGAGCUGUGCUCGCUCGAAGGAACGCCAAUACCGGCUACUCGAUCUACGAAAGUCGUGUCGCAUCUUCGGGAUAUCAUUUUCGUCCUUCAUAAGGACAAGUUAAACGAUCCUAAAGUGGCGUCAUACGGACGACGUCACAAUGCACCAUUCCAAUUGCAUCGAUGACGUCAAACAAAACUACUUGCAUCUUGAAUUGUCCUGAAACUAGUUCGCUAUGCUGUAUAUCUACCAUACCAUAUGUACAUAAAUAUAUGUAGGAAGCAUGUACGAAAUUCGAUAUAAGUAACAACGUGAUAAAAUAAAAGAGAAAAAGAUGCUUGACGCAAAGAUGCGUGACGCAUCCUCGUAUCCCCUUUGCCUUGUCAGUUUUUAAUCUUCGUAUAUUCGAACAAGCAAAGUAACCAAAUCAUCAUGGCACGUGCCAAAUAUUUCCGACAGCGGUAUCUAACCACCCGCUUUUUUCACCCCGGUUAAACGUAAUACUUUGAACAUGGUUCGGUGACUCGACAAGCUAUACACGUACUUAAUCGUUCAAAGCAUAUCAGUAUUCUUAAAAAAAAAAGGGAAAAUCGAAUUUUCGGAAAAGAAACGGCAGUUGUAUAUUUUCAAAGAAGAAAAGAAUGUGGAAGGGAAGAAAGAGAAAGAAGAGGGUAUCGAUGAAAUAAAAAAGAGCGUGAUCAUUUUUAAAGGAAACAAUCGCCAAUAUCGAUAGAGUAACGAGCGACGCGUGCCGUGUCACGUGUCCCCCGAUGCUCGCUCAAACAUUAUACACGACAUGGCGUGCGCAAAAUAAGUCUCACCUAAUUGCGACGGCUGUUCCAUUAGAGAUUAAACUUCAAACGAGACUCGGUCAGAUUCGUUCGGUUAAUUAAGACAGCUCUCCCAAGUAUAACACCGUCUUUGUAUUCCCUUCCUUUCGUUCGGAGAGAGAAAACCGAUGAUAUCGUAUAUCCAACGAUUACCGCCCUACCUUCUGCCUUCCCGAAAAUCAUCAAUACGGUACCAUUGUCGUUCGAUCGCGUUAUAAUCGAUCGAACAAAAUUUCCUCGUG